rnacentral:lncRNA from 1 species
CUUCAAACAAUAUCAUUUCACAUUUAGCAAACUCAUUACUUAACAGGAGCAAGCAUUUUACUCUUUAAACACUAAACAAGCCUUUAAAGCAUCCUGGGACAGAUUCAACUAAUUAUAUUUAGCAAUCACACAUUAUCCUCAGGUUUUUCAAUCAAUACACAUCACAAUAACCAGGCAAUAACACAACACAAGCUCAUUAUCAAGAAGGUUUUAAGAAUCGCUUACACAAGGAACCAGGUUGGUUCCUUAAGCCUCCAAAGGCAAUCUGGCCAUGAUAUGGUUGGAUUCAAGAGUCUAGGUCGUCACCCAACUCCUUCUCCUUCAGUCCAUGGCCUCCUUCUUGUUUCUCACACCCAAAGACCCCUCCUUUCUUCAUACUUCAAACAGGCUUCUCUUAGCUUCAUCUUUCUUGUAUCCGGAUGUGAUAAGCUCUUGGACAAGGAGCUUUGGCAUGAGGUUCAUGACGCCUCUCCAUCCUCCUCUGCUUCCAAAGAGACACUCUCCAUCAGGUAAAGACAUGCACGGUUGAGAGAUAAGGAGAACACUCCAUGCUUCAAACUUCUUUUUUCUUCAAGAACUGAACUCGGCUGGUAAUGUCUUCAAGGGUUUGGUUUGAGCUGAGAUGAGAGCUGUGGAUUUGCGGAAGCUCAGCUCAGGUUCUGAUGAACCUGGCUCUGAUACCAUAUGAGAUUUGAGAGCUCUGGCUGUGUAUGUGUAUGAGAAGCCAUUAGAGGCAAAGAAUAAGGUCUUGAACUAGUUGAAUAAGAGGUCUGAUGAAACUAGUAUGAACUUGAAUCAGAAACAAAGAGACUUAGAGAGAUUAAGAGAUUAGAGAUUAAGAAAGGGGUAGAUUAAGGGAAUCUGAUCAAGAACACACUUUUAUAUUUAUGAAGGAGAUGGGGAAAUCCCCCAUACUCUCUUAAGAGAGUUACAAACGCCCAUGAGGGUCUUUAUAUAGGUUUUACACUCUUGCAAACUCAUAAACCUAUAUCUAAUGGAUAGAAAUAACUUAAGAGGAAUGGAUGGUGAGGAUGAGUUGGUCUUGUUGUAAUCUGAGUGAUGUGUGCUGAUUGGAUAAGCUAAGCUGGCUCACUUUAAUUCAAACCAAGGCAAGCUGGCUCCUUGCUUGUGAUUGGCUCUCCUUAGGCUCCUCUUAAUCUUCCCAUGCAUCUGUCCAGGUUCAUGGUCGUGGCUCCCUUCUCUUUACAGCAAGAGACAGCCUGUCCAAGAC